AUUAUGAAAGCAAAAAAUUAUGGCGGUAUUUUAAGCUUUUCAGAGGAAUUUGCUCUUUAAUGGAUAAAACACCUAAAUCUUACUUAAAUUUGUUAAUUCAAUUUGUAUACCACUAUAAAAACAAUUUAUAACUUUAAUUGUUUAAAUUUAUUAAAUUAAAAUAUAUUAAGUCAAGGUGCAGUAAAAAUUUAAGGAUGAAGUGAAUUACAUUACUCUUUAGAGAAACAAAUUUAAAAUAAUACUUAGGAUUUGAAAGUAAAAUUAAAAUA
rnacentral:rRNA from 1 species